rnacentral:rRNA from 1 species
CGCGACCCCAGGUCAGGCGGGAUCACCCGCUGAGUUUAAGCAUAUC